AUUAGAUGUUUUCUUGAUUUGAACCCAUUGCUUUGUUGAUAGUAUUUGCAUUAGAGUGUUCAUUUAGAGUCUAUCCUCUGUCAUGUCCCCUCAACCUCUGUAUUCAGGCAGUUGCUUUUUCUCGGUGUUUCCACUCCCAUAGUUUAUCCUUUGCUUAUGAAUGGUGUUUUUUUCUCCUGGAUCCCUGCAAGUUGUUCAGGGACAUUACACCGCCACUAAUGGAGAAGUCCAUUACGUUCGAUUAUACCACAGUGUAUUAGUCUCUGUGUACAAUGUUCUCCUGGUUCUGCUCCUCUCGCUCUGCAUCACUUCCUGGAGGUUGUUCCAGUCUCCAUGGAACUUCUCCACUUUAUUAUUCCUUUUAGCACAAUAGUACUCCAUCACCAACAUAUACCACAGUUUGUUCAGCCAUUCCCCAAUUGAUGGGCAUCCCCUCGUUUUCCAGUUUUGGGCCACCACAAAGAGCGCAGCUAUGAAUAUUUUUGGACAAGUCUUUGUGUCCAUUAUCUCUUUGGGGUACAGACCCAGCAGUGCUAUGGCUGGAUCAAAGAGUAGACUUUCUUUUAUCGCCCUUUGCGUAUAGUUCCACAUUGCCCUCCAGAAUGGUUGGAUCAGUUCACAACUCCACCAGCAAUGAAUUAAUGUCCCUACUUUGCCACAUCCCCUCCAGCAUUCAUUACUUUCCUUUGCUGUUAUGUUAGCCAAUCUGCUAAGUGUGAGGUGAUACCUCAGAGUUGUUUUGAUUUGCAUCUCUCUGAUUAUAAGAGAUGUAGAGCACUUCUUCAUGUGCUUGUUGAUAGUUUUGAUUUCUUUAUCUGAGAACUGCCUAUCCAUUUCCCUUGCCCAUUUAUCAAUUGGAGAAUGGCUUGAUUUUUUGUACAAUUGAUUUAGCUCAUUAUAAAUAUGAGUAAUUAAACCUUUGUCAGAGGUUUCUAUGAAGAUUUUUUCCCAAUUUGUUGUUUCUCUUCUGAUUUUAGUUAUAUUGGUUUUGUUUGUACAAAAGCUUGUCUCUAAAAUCUUAAAGAGAAAGAUGGGAACAGGAAGAUAUUAUGAGUGCUAACAUUCAUAAAACAAAAGGAAAUAAUGGAGGAUAAAACUGAUUUAAAGUAAGUUCUGCAAGAGACACAACUAAGUAAAGGUGCAUGGGGACAUUUAAGGAUUAAAACUGUAUGACAACAAAGAGAAGAAAAAUAGAAAAAAUCAAAUAUUUUUAUAAUAAAACUUUUUUUCACCAUCAAGAAGAGUAGAGAUGCAAUAUUUAUUCUCUAACCUUAGUAUCACAGAUAUGCUUAUAGAAGAUAUGGACAUGAUAUGUGAGGGAAGAUGAAGAUUCUAGUUGGUUUGGACCAAGAGAAUUGAGAUUGUGGUGGUAUUGAAGGAUCGGUUCUCAAAGUAUUUGGAGAGGAAGGCAUGGGAGAAGGAAAAAAAUGACAUUAUUAGUUGUUCCAUCAUUUCCAAAUCUUCCUGAUCCUAUUUAGAAUUUUCUUGGUAAAGAUGUUAGAAGGGUUUGACAUUUUUUUUCUCCAGCUCAGUUUAUAGAUGAGAAACUGAGGCAUACGGGGUUAAGUGACUUGCCCAGGAUCAUAAUCUAGUAAGUGCCUGAGGCCAGAUUUGAAAGCAUGAAAUGAGUUUUCCUGAUUCUCAUUAACGUUCUAUCCACUUUACCAACUAUCUGUGACCAACAUUAUUAGUGUAUCCCCCUAAAAAAGUCAAUAGUGUAUUAAUAACUAUAGGAAGCAAUAUGACCUAGUGUGUGUUUCGUGGGGAAGCCUUUGAGACUAUGAAUUCUAUGUUGAAAUCCUGGCUCUUAUACUUCCUGACAGGUGGUCAUAGGUAAAUCACUUAAUCUCUCAAUUCUUGAAACAAUUCUUUAAGAUUACAUUAAAUUAUAGAUUGGCUGCUGAUCAGAGGGGGUUUCCAAACCAGAAGAACUCCAUAGCAAUGAAAUCUGAGAUCUAGAGCCUUUGUAUUAACCUUCUGUCUCCCAAAAAUAUGUAUACAAAUGAUUUGUCCCUUUUCUGAGGCUGUCUUUAGGACCAGAGGAAAGCUCAUAUACCUUUCAAAACUCUCACCAAUCUGAGAUGAAAUCAAGUGAAUGGCACAUUUUGGAAUUAUCUGACCCAAACUAGGGCAGCUAGGUGGCACAGUGGAUAGGUGUUAGGUGUGAUUCAGGAAGAUUCAUCUUCUUGAGUUCAAAUAUGGUCUCUGACACUCAUACUAACUCUAUGACCCUAGAUAAGUCAUUUAAUGCCAUUUACCUCAGUUUUCUCAUCUGUAAAAUGAGCUGGAGAAGAAAAUGGCAAACUGCUUUAAUAUCUGUGCCAGGAAAAACCCAAAUAGGAUCACAAUGAGUUGGAGGUAAUUGAACAAAAACUAUUAAGUUGGCACAAAGAAAGGGAAGAAUGCCUGUUUUCAGUUACCCCUCAGACAUUAAUAGUAAUAUGGAAAAACAUGAGUCAGCAGAGUUGUCUCCCCCAGAGUCUGCUUGGGUUGUACUGACAAGCUCUAUCCCUCCUAAGGCUAAAAGUUGUCCAUUCUAUAGUCCUGGAAAAAGAGUUAAUGAAUAAAAAUUCAUCAGGGGUUUUGCAUAGCUAUUUUUCUUCUUUAUUUGUUAGUAACUGAAACUAGAGUUUGACCUUAGAUGAAGAUAAUAGAGGCUAGCUCUCUGAUAAUGAAUUUAGAGGUGAUGCAAGAGUUUCACAAGCCAAAUCUUUCUCCAUUAGUCUGCAUGGUGUGUAAAAUGCAUAGAAUCAAAUGUUUUUGGAGGUAGAAGGGACAACUGGGUCUAGACCUCUUAUUUUACAGAUGAGAAAACUGAGACCCAGAGAAGGGAAAUACUUUUCUCAAAGUUAAAUAACAAAAUAAUGCCAGCCAUUCAGUCAGAAUUAAAUCCAGGGAGACCAUUGUUCCUUUAACCAUUAGAGUUUUUCCCUGCAUAUUUAGAUAUUGUACUGAAUUUAUUAUUGUAGCUCAAGAAUGAUAGUUGAAGUGGGAAGGGUAAUCCAUUAUGUUAUUAACAAGGUCUAGCACUUUAGGGUAUCUAAGAUGAGCAGAUUAAUUAGCAAAAUCCUGAAUGAAUGUUACAAAGGGUGUCAAAUUUAAUUGAGAAGAAGGUUAGGAGACUGGUAAAAGUACAAAGUUUGGGAAGGAUAUAGAGGCUGGUGGGAGGAUGCAGUCCAGAAAAUAUGGCGGUGGGAUAUGUUGGAAAGGCAGAGGCAAGGGGAAAAGAGUGCAUGUAACCAAAAUCCAACUCCUAAUCCUAUUCAGAAAUAUUAUUUGGAAUUAUCAAACUCUGCCUAUCCCCUAUUAUAGUAGACUUCUAAUUGGCCUCCUCCUUUCUAAUCUCUCUCCUUUCCAGAACAUCCUCCACACAACUGCUGAACUAGUAUUCCUAAAACACAGAUCAGUCAUCGUCUCCCUUACUCAGAGGAUCAGUGGCUCCUUUUUACUUCUAGGAUGAAAUGCAAACUGCUCAGCUUGCAUUUUGAGACCUUGCACAUUGUAACUCCAGCCUAUCUGUCCCAACCUAGAUAACAUGACCUUUUUUCAUGCAAUCUAGACUCUUGCCAAGGUGGACCACUGAACUUGGAAUUCUGUCUAUCUCAUAUUCAGAGGUCGAAUCGGAAUUUUGAUUCCAGAGUUUUUGUCUCCUAGUUCCAAUUUUCUAGGUCAAGGAAUAAGAUUCAUGGGCCACAAGGACCCCUUUAUAGCAGUUCUGCUCAUCCCAGUCAUUCAUUAAUUGCUUAAUGGGAAGAAAUGACCAACAGUUAAGUUUUGUCUCCAUCUGGCACGGUGCGGAGCAUGUGACUUUAAUCUUCGCCUUAUUGCUAAUGUUUCCUGUUCUCCUAUGAAAGAAAUGUUUUCUCUCACAAAGUGUGUCUGCUGAGCCAAUUUAAGGAAAUAGUUCCCUUGGAGUCACCCCGAUCUGAUAGAGCAAGGGUCAGUGUAGAUAGGAAAGACGUCAGCAUUCAGUGGAAUGAAUAUUUUCCCCUGAAUAUUCACAAUUCUCCUGUUGGGGUGUCUCUUGGAGAUGACAAGCCAUAGCUGUGAGGAGCCUCUGAGAAUCAGGUGGCAGUUAGAGGCGGCCAACACUUUAAUUAGCAAUAAGAUAUCCGCGAAGCUCCGAUUUUUAAGCACUAGAGUGACCAGGCAUGUCACUUGCUGCAAAAAUGUGCCUGGUCCUUCAAGGGAUUCUUCCGUUCCUGGCCUUCUGUUAACAAGAAAAGAGACUUGUGAUUGAUUCCCUGAAUAUCUUGGCUGCCUUUUCCAAGAGUGGUUAAUGGUAGAAAUGGUGUCUGAAGGGAUGGAGAGGGGGCCAAGAAUCCCCAAACCAGUGGAACUGGAAGAAAAGAGAAUGUAAAAACCAAUAAACAGAAUCUCUAUCAGGACAGCAUUUCAGAACUGCAAUUGAAAAAGCACUAGUUCUGAAGUUUUAAACAUCCUGAUUCUGCCACUUACUUCUUAUUUAAAAUUGGAUAAAUCACUUAGUCUCCUCAGGCCUCAGUGUCCUUAUCUGUAAAAUGAAAGAGCAAGAUUGGAAGACCUCAAAGGUUCCUUCAAAACCAGGAGAUCUUUGAUUUUGGGAAAGAAAUUACCUUUCUAGCCUAUCCAAAGGGCAUGCUUAUAAACUUCCCAAGGAGCAGCAAAGAGACCUAAUGGAAGUCACAGUGCCUAGGCCACGGAGAAGUUUUCUCCUUUAGUGAGAGAGAUCAAAACAAUUUUCUCAGGUUCCAUAAUUUACCAAGAAUCAUAGCAGGAACAUCAAGGGAAGCUGGCAACAAUAUUGCAAAGAUUCAAAAGAUUCCUCUAUGCAGAAAGCCUUGCUAAUAUGCUAAACCAUCUUUAAUUAACUAAUGUUCUGUCCUCACUGCCUGUUAGCCUUUUUGGAGAUAAAAGGGCCUCUCAAAUUAGCUUGAUGUUGAAAGCAGCCCUGCCAUGCCCCCCUUAGAAUUGGCAGGAACGGGACUUCAGUCGGACUCGGCAGCAAACAAGGAAUAAGACAAAGGGGGGAAAGAAUCAAAACAUUUUAAUAAAGGCUGAGAGACAUUAAACAGAAAUGGAGAUCUAAGUGGCAAUAUGCUCAGAACUGAUAUUUGAUGAAGCUCUUUUUAAAAAGAGUUUCGAAGUGUAACAAGAUCAUCCUUGGGUGAAAAUAAAAAUGGAAUUGGGGAAGCUCGAUUGAGUCUUACAUGGCUGGUUAAGGAAUGUGCCAGGCAGAGGGAGUCUCUGGCUUCAUUGCAGUAUGUGCCAAGGCUCCCGUUUUUGAAAAGAAUGGCAUGGGGGAUGGUGGCGGGAGAUUGCUUCCCAUAAAUAUCUAUUAAGAAAGCUAGUCGGUAGGUAGUUUUGGUUGCAUCCCUGGAUUUUCAUAAUCAAUCAGUCAAUCAAUCAAUUAAUAAGUAUGUAUUUAUUAAGCACACAUUACACACUAGGCACUGUGUUAUGUGCUAAAUAAAGACAAAGAUGGGACUUUCAUCAAUCAAUAAACAAGCCUACUGUGUGCUAAGCAACAUACUAAGCUUUGAAUGAAACUAGUGACAACAAGCUAGUCAUAUCUACAGUGCCUAACUCUGAGAAUUGGUGUAAGGGUCAAAUGACUUCAUGGUUGGGGAUGUGAUUUAGGAAUCAUGAAUCCCAUUAUUUCUUUUUCUUUAUUUAAAAAAAUAAAGAGAGAUCUUGGGGGCAGCUGGGUAGCUCAGUGGAUUGAGAGUUAGCCCUAGAGAUGGGAGGUCCUAGGUUCAAAUCUGGCCUCAGACACUUCCCAGCUGUGUGACCCUGAGCAAGUCACUUGACCCCCAUUGCCUAGCCCUUACCACUCUUCUGCCUUGGAGCCAAUACACAGUAUUGACUCCAAGACGGAAGGUAAGGGUUUAAAAAAAAAAAGAGAUCUUCCUGUCUUUACCACCCUGGGAGUGUAGGGGCUAUUCAUGGGGUGCUAAGGCAGAAGAGUGGUAGGGGAUAGGCAAUGGGGGUUAAGUGACUUGCCCAGAGUUGCACAGCUAGGAAGUGUCUGAGGCCAGGACCUCCCAUCUGUGGGUCUGUCUCUCAAUCCACUGAGCCACCUAGAUGCCCCUGACCUGCUCCAUAUCUGAGCUCGGUUGGCCCACAUCCUUUCUAGGUAAUUUAGGGGACCCCCACCGCUGAUGCCUCACUGUAUUGAUGUUUGCCUUACUAUGGACUCCUAAUCUGUUUAGCCCACUGAUUCAGAACUCCUGAGAUCUAAAGAUUAUAGGUAUUUGCUACCAUGAUGGAAAAUUGCUGUUUCUAUGAGAAGAGGAAAAAAGGGAAGGGGAGAUAACAAAGUGUUUAUUAAGCAUCAAAUUUCUUCAAUGUGCUAUUCUAGAAACUAUUCAAAUAUUAUUUCAUUUAAGUUUCACAAUAGCCUUGGGAUGUAGGUGCUAUUGUUACCCUUCUUUACAUUUGAGGAAACUAAGGUAGAUAGAGGUUAAGUGACUUAGAGUCAAAGCUCUUAAGUUUUUGAGACUGGAUUUGAAUUCAGGACUCUUUGAUUACAUGCCCAGUGCUCCAUCCACUGCGUCUCCCAAAGAAUCUCCUCCCCCCCCCAAAAAAAAAACUUUUGGGGAGUGAUAAGAUCCAUAAUGGAUAGAACUCUAGACUUAGAGCCAAAUUGGAGAUAAGUUCAAAGUUUUCACAGAUGCUACCCAGCCCACUCCAUGUCUGAACAAGAAUCUCUUAUGCAUCUCUGGACAAAUGGUCAUCUAGCUUUUGCUUGAAGUCCUCCAAUGGGGAAGAUGCACUCACUCCCAAACCACCUGUUGCUCCUAGUGCUAACACCUGGGCCAAGCAAAACAAGAUGCAAAGUUUCCCCAAAUGGACAGCUCUUAAAGAAUUGUGCCAGUAUAAAGAUUAUGUAAAUCUAUCCUUGGGAGAUCUGGGCAAGUUUCACAAUCUUUCAGAGAUUUAGUAAAGGCGGUUCAUAUGAGAUUAAAGGUUAAUUUGAGACAGGAAAACCUGAGUUCAUAUGUUGCCUCAGACACUUGCUAGCUGUGUGACUUAAGGCAAAUCACUUCAACCUCUGCUUGUUUCUACAUCUGUAAAAUGGGAUUUCUGAUAACACCUAUUUCAUUCGACUGUUGCAAUGAUCAAAUGAAAUAAUAUUUUAAAGGGAUUACUAAACCUCAAGUUGAUAUAGAGUCGUAAAUAAUGAUUAUAUAACAAUACGUGUAUUUUUUAUACAAUUAAUAAGAAAUAUUAUGUUUCUUUCAAAUCUUAAAGAGCUACAUAAAUUUCAGCUAUUGUCAUUAUUAUGUUUGUUAGUAGGAAAUCACAAUGAAUUCCAUGUAAACACAUAACAUUCAUACUCUACAAAGUUUUAAGUCCAUGCAUGAAACUCAUUUACUGAAAAAACAUGUCCAUUUCUCCCUUUUUGAGCUUAACUUCUUGAGAAGGCCAUCUAUAAAAAGUAUCUCUAUUUCUCCUCUUAAUCUCUUCUAAACUCCUUGGGCUGUGGCUUCCAAUCCCAUCAUUCCACCAAAAUGGCUCUUUCCAAAGUUACUGAUCAUUUUAUAAUUACCGAACCCAAUGGUCUUUUCUCAAGUCUCAUCCUUUUAGUCUGUCACACAUCCACAUACCUCUCCUGUAUAUGCUUGUCUUUCUAGUUUGUCAGGACAUGCUCUCUCCCAGUUCUUCUCUUAUCUGUUUGACUGCUCCUUCUUAAUCUUCUUUGCUAGAUUAUCUUUCUAGAUAAUGCCUGAUAAAACUGGGCAUCCCCCAGGGAUCUGUUCUGGGUCUUCUCUUCUUCUCCCUCUAUACUAUUUCACUUGGUGGUCUCAUCUUAGAGUUUCAGUUAUCAUCUCCAUAUACUUGUCUGGUUCUAACCUUAUUCCUAACCUCCAAUUCCACAUCUCUCACUAUGAAUGAGAUAUCUCAUUCAAAAUAUUCUAUGGGCAUCAUAAUCUCAACAUGUCCAUAACUGAUUCCAUUAUCUUUCUCCAAACCCCUUCCCUCUUCUCAGUUUCUCUAUUACUAUCAAAGGUUCCACCAUCCUCCUAGUCUCUCACCCUUAUGAUCACAGUGUCAUCUGUGACUCUUUACUCUCUCUUACCUCCUAUAUCAAAUCAGAUGUUAAGAUUAUCUUUGUAAUAGCUCUCAUUUAAAUUGGCUUUUCUCCUCUGGUGAAGACGGGGCACUAAUACACCACUGGUAGAAUUAUGAGCAGAUCUAACCAUUUUAGAGAAUGAUCUGGAAUUACAUCCAAAGAUUUAUAAAACUGUAUAUAUCCUGUGACUCAUCAAAAUCACUACUAGAUUUGUUUCCUAAGUGAUCUGAGAAAGGAGAAAAGAACCUGUAUGUUCUAAAAUAUUCAUAGCCCUUCUCUUUGUGGUGGCAAAGAACUAAAAUAUGGGGGAAUACUCAUCAUUUGAGGAAUGGCUUUACAAGUUAUAGCCUAUGAUUAUGAUGGAAUACUACUGCUCCAUGAGGAAUGAUAGGAAGGUUAAUUAAAAAAAUACUAACAAAAACAAAACAUGGAAAUGCCUACAUGAAACUAUGGUGAGUGCAAUGAGCAGAACAAAGAGAUAUACAACAACCAAAAUAUUGUGUGAAGGAAAACUUUGCUAUAUCCAACUCUAGAGAAAUAACUGAUAUAAGCAAAAUAUAGUGUUUUAUAUAUGUAUUUCUGUUUGUCAAAUAAUGCCUUCUCUUUUGCAGAGAGGAGAGAGGGGACUCCCUGGAAAUUUUAUUAUUUCACUUAGGUUAUCCAAUAAUCCUAUGAUGAGGCUCCUGGCCAGACUGGCUUCAGAAAGAAGAGUUCUUUCACAUCCCAGGAACUUUCAAAGACCAUCUAACCAGGCUGUAGAGGGAUUUUAAUUUGUAACAUUGGUGAUAAUAUCCUUGCAAAUCCCCAUCUAAUUCCUGAUCAAGUCAAAGGAUCUUAAAAUAUUGGAGUUCUGGAACUAAACCGAAGACAUAAGAAAAAAACACAAAACACACAUUUCAUUUUUAAAAAUUACUUUUCUGAAUGCCACUGAAAUAUAGCCUCUUGUUAACUUA